UAUUUACUAAAAAAUAAAAAUUCUAACGUAGCUAUAUAUUCUAACGGUUACGCAUUUAAGACGAAACGCUCUUCACUGGCGGAGGUAAUUUCGAACUCCCGCUAUUUUUGUCGGAAUAAUGCGCCAAAUAAACUGAAGUGUUGUUUCGUUUAUUUAAGCCGGCCUAAAGGAGCUAACAAAGAUAUCAUCAGUCCACAAAGGAAUCAACCAGUGAAGGAGAAAAACAUUCAAAGCUGUAAAUUGCCAAAUCCAUCACCGGACUUAAGGAGCUAACAAAGAAAUCAUCAGUCCACAAAAGAAUCAACCAGUGAAGGAGAAAAACAUUCAAAGCUGUAAAUUGCCAAAUCCAUCAGUUGGAAGAUGGAUGUCAAAGUCUCAGACAAAAGCUUCCAGAGUUAAGAAAAGAUCACUUCAACAAAAACAAGCACGAGAAGAAUGACUGCAAAAAAUAUUUUCGCAGAUGCGUUUCCUCAUCAAGUGUAUAAGGAAAACAGACCUGUCUACAGAGACUAGAUGUAAAUGUCAAGGACUGAAAUGAGCAAUUCAAUGGCUCAUUUCUAAUUGUGUUAAGUGUCAUAAAAAAUUAAAACUGUUAUAAAUGGACAUGUAGUAAUGAUGAAAUUAUCAUCCUGUUGCGAAUAACAUUUACUUAUUCAUGAACUUAGUUCAUGAAUGACAUUUUGAAAAAAUCAUGUUCAUUAACUGUCAAGUUCAUUUACUAAGUGGGAGUUCAUGAACAUGAUUUGUCCAAAUUGUCAUUCUUGAAUAGUUCAUGUUAUUCUCAAAAAGCACACGCUUGACGUCACUGACAUGGAUAUUAAUUUGAUGGACUAAAGAAGCUCCAUACAUGGAAAAUGACAAAUGCGAAUCAAUUAAUACGCUGUCUAGAAUAAAAAAUAACAACUGUAUAACUAAUUUUAUCAGUAAAUACAAAACUGUGAGUCUAGCCCGCUGAUGCCAAAAAUUAAGUCAUUAAUAACUAUGCAUUUAAACUCCAGAAUGACCUUUAUGAACCAUUAAUGUACAGGUGAUAUUUAUUGUUUCUUAAAUACAAUAACUUAUAAACUGUGUUAGUUUGAAUUUUUUAUCCAUGUUUUCAUGCACAUUGGUUAAAAGUACAUGUUUGAAAAAUAUAAUGAUAUAAUUAAAGAGAGAUAACUGUUUUACUUGCGUUUAUGCUGUAAGAGCGUAGAAGGGCAUGUGAGUGAAUUUCAUAAAGCAUGUUAGAGCAUCUUGGGUCAUUUGCUUGCUUACCCUACUGCAUUCAUACAGCAUAAAAGCAGUAAAAUGUGAGCAUUACUUAUAAUUUUAAUACAUAAUAAAAAAAUGUUCAUUUCGGUUAAACAGUAGGAGUACUUUUAUCUUGUUCUGUGCGUAUCGCAGGCAGAAAAAGGACUUGCAGUUUACUCUAGAUUGAUCAUGGUGUUAAAGACCUUCGCCAACAGUUAUGUAUUAAAUAAUGCAAUUGAGUAUUUGUUCUUUUAGAAAUGUAACCAACAACAUAUGUUGGUAUGAAAGAAUAGCUGAUUUUGUAAUGUAUUAUAAUAUAUUUGUUUUAAAUGACUAAUCCUUAAUUAAGAAAAGUAAUCUACAUUUCAUGAUGAAAUGGAAUUGGUUGCGUAAAACUGGAGCUUACAAGAAAGUGUUUUCUAUUUUCUUGUUGACUAAUUUUUUUUCAUGAUAGUGGUUGACAUUUUUAUUUUUAAACAAGAAAGUUAUAAUGUACCUUUUGAUAUCAAAUGGUUUUCUACGACAUGUGCAACUUAAAACAUGACAUGUUGUCUGUAAAUUUGUCUGUGUGUUCACAUGCAUUCUGGUGAACAGGCUUUAUCACUAAUCACUCAGCAAAACAUUGGAUUACUUAAGAAUUUGGUAGAUAUAAAAUGAUAAGAAAACCUAAGAAUUUUUGGGAACUCCUAACAAAUCCUAUGUUUUUCAAUUUGACUCCAAUGGGUAAAAAUCCAAUGUUUUCCAUCUAGGAAUACAUAGGAAAAGAUAGGAAUUUUGCAUCCAGAUUCAGUUCGGAAUACUUAGGAAAACAUUGGAUUGUGGGGCCAAUACCGCCCAUGUUUUCCAAAGUAUUCCAACUCAGAAAAACAUUGGAUUACUUAAGAAUUUGGUAGAUAUAAAAUGAUAAGAAAACCUAAGAAUUCUUGGGAACUCCUAAC